rnacentral:rRNA from 1 species
ACUCCUACGGGAGGCAGCAGUGGGGAAUAUUGCACAAUGGGCGCAAGCCUGAUGCAGCCAUGCCGCGUGUAUGAAGAAGGCCUUCGGGUUGUAAAGUACUUCUAGCAGUGAGGAAGGUGGGUAUGUUAAUAGCAUACUCAUUUGACGUUAGCUGCAGAAGAAGCACCGGCUAACUCCGUGCCAGCAGCCGCGGUAAUACGGAGGGUGCGAGCGUUAAUCGGAAUUACUGGGCGUAAAGCGCAUGCAGGUGGUUUGUUAAGUCAGAUGUGAAAGCCCGGGGCUCAACCUCGGAAUUGCAUUUGAAACUGGCAAACUAGAGUACUGUAGAGGGGGUAGAAUUUCAGGUGUAGCGGUGAAAUGCGUAGAGAUCUGAAGGAAUACCGGUGGCGAAGGCGGCCCCCUGGACAGAUACUGACACUCAGAUGCGAAAGCGUGGGGAGC